rnacentral:tRNA from 1 species
UGAGGGAUCGUCUAAAGGCAGGACACAAGAUUCUGAUUCUUGUUAUCUAGGUUCGAAUCCUAGUCCCCCAGCCA